GUCGUUGCGAGGCGAGGUCUGAAGGAAGCGUAUGGCAAAGCCACGACCUGACGAA
rfam:Candidatus Burkholderia brachyanthoides strain TZHbot7 BRCHctg46, whole genome shotgun sequence.